rnacentral:rRNA from 1 species
AUGAAAACAGGGCUGAAGGCCCGAGAGGAGGUGUACGCCACCCUGCUGGAGCAGCUACUCGCCUCCUUCGCUAAUCCAUUGGAGGACACCCAGCUGAGGGAGUGGGAGUGCCCCCCCAAACCCCACUAUUCUCUCACCGAGAAGAGGAGCGGUCCAAGACAGGACCCCAAAUGCCCCUUCUUUCUCAUCAAUCUGAAGGUAUCGGCCAAGGCGGCGCAGAUAUCGUGGUCGAUGAAGAAGUAUCCCCGCUUCCCCCGGGAGCGAGCGAUGCACGAUGCUUUACGUGUCGCACGCCUGGGCACAGGAACUCAGGGAUUUCUUGUAGAGCAGGCAGGCGAAGGCGGGCAGCCAGGUGCCCUCUCCUACUUCAUCGAUGCCACAUACAGUGGGUGGCCGCGGCCCAAAGAGGGUAUAUUCGAGGAAGGCUCCUCUGUGCCUCUCAGGGAGGUCGCUGUUAUCAAGAGGUUGCCUGGUGGUGAUGGGAUUUCUGUCAUGUCCUAUGUUCAUGGGCUUGGUGUUAAGCUUGAUGACAUCCUUUUCGUGUUGCACGUCCCGUCUGCCGCAAUGCCCCUGAGAUUUACCGAGCAGAGGAGCAAGAAAAAAAUAUUAAGCGUGAGAAACAUGAUCAUCAGGGGAGUGAGGAGCUGGUGUGCAGCCCAGAGGAGUUCAUGCUCCAAAGGCAUGAGCAAGAGGGGGAGAAGCUGGAGCGCCUGCGGAGGAGAAGGGAGGAGAGCAAGAAACAUAGAGAUCUACGCAAGGAAAUGA